UCCUCCUCCAUUUGAUCCAGCCGCCUUCCCUGGAGUCUUCCCCCUUGAUAACAGGAUUUCCCUUUGCCUUCUCACCAUGAUCAUAUCAUUUGCCAUUCAUUGUGCCUCAAAGUGCAUUAACAGCUGUUGCUUGUGCAGUUAUUCUGAUUUCCUCCCUCUCUUGCCUAGUGUGUCCUGUCCAAACUCAUUUCCACUCAUUUGCCUGGAAUUGCACUGGUGUUUGCUUCCUAUGACCAUAUGUCCACUACCUGGAUGAAAAGGACCAUCCUCUUCCCCCUGCUAUGCCUUCCCUUCCAUCCUAAAUGUCCAUCCUCCCUUGUCCUUCAAGUCCUUAGUAUAAUUGCUGAGUUAAUUGGCUGCAUUCCCCAAAUUUCAGUUGCUUAUUCUGCAUCCGGUAUCAGUGGAUAAAUUCUCUUUAACCACUGCCCAACCAGGAUAUCGAGGCCCUGCCCCUGACUUGAUCUGCCGCAUAGGACAGGUGGAGCUCUGGGUCCGUGAUGAUGAGGACCGUGGGGAAAUGCGGAAGUCAGAGGACGUGCUGCCAGGAUUGCUUGGUGCCACGGGAGCACUCCCAGUGCCCCUCUGCCCUGCAAGAUGCUGGAGAGAUGCUAAGGG